rnacentral:piRNA from 1 species
UGCCACAUGGCUGGUUACCUGU